rnacentral:rRNA from 1 species
GAUUAACGCUAGCGGCAGGCCUAAUACAUGCAAGUCGAGGGAGAUUGUGGUAGCAAUACUACAUGAGACCGGCGUACGGGUGCGUAACACGUAUGCAACCUACCUUUAACUGGGGCAUAGCCCCGAGAAAUCGGGAUUAAUACCCCAUAAGAUCAUAGAAGGGCAUCCUUCAGUGAUUAAAGCUCCGGCGGUUUUAGAUGGGCAUGCGGGACAUUAGCUAGUGGGUGAGGUAACGGCUCACCAAGGCUACGAUGUCUAGGGGUUCUGAGAGGAUUUUCCCCCACACUGGUACUGAGACACGGACCAGACUCCUACGGGAGGCAGCAGUAAGGAAUAUUGGGCAAUGGGCGCAAGACUGACCCAGCCAUGCCGCGUGCAGGAUUGACGGCCCUAUGGGUUGUAAACUGCUUUUGUACGGGAAAAAACCCCCGGUCGUGAACCGGGGCUGAUGUUACCGUAAGAAUAAGCAUCGGCUAACUCCGUGCCAGCCGCCGCAGUAAGAC